CCUACGGGAGGCAGCAGUGGGGAAUCUUAGACAAUGGGCGCAAGCCUGAUCUAGCCAUGCCGCGUGAGCGAUGAAGGCCUUAGGGUUGUAAAGCUCUUUCGUGGGGGAAGAUAAUGACUGUACCCCAAGAAGAAGCCCCGGCUAACUCCGUGCCAGCAGCCGCGGUAAU
rnacentral:rRNA from 1 species